SCWWARAGUYUGMUCCUGGCUSAKAWCRWRYGCUGGCGGCGUGCCUAACASAUGCAAGUCRAACGUGAUUGGAAGCUUGCUUCCAUGAAAGUGGCGCACGGGUGAGUAACGCGUAGAUAAUCUACCUGAUGAUCCGGGAUAACACUUCGAAAGGGGUGCUAAUACCUGAUAAGCUCACGGAGUCUUCGGACUCUGCGGGAAAAGGGGGGGACUUUUAUCGGCCUUCCGUCAUCARAUGAGUCUGCGUACCAUUAGCUAGUUGGUAGGGUAAAGGCCUACCAAGGCGACGAUGGUUAGCUGGUCUGARAGGAUGAUCASCCMCACUGGAACUGARACACGGUCCAGACUCCUACGGGAGGCAGCAGUGGGGAAUUUUGCGCAAUGGGGGAAACCCUGACGC
rnacentral:rRNA from 1 species